GUCGAGAGGCUUCGGCAAUGGGGGAAACCCUGACCGAGCGACGCCGCGUGGGCGAUGAAGGCCGUUAGGUUGUAAAGCCCUGUCGAGCGGGAAGAAACGCAAAUGGGUAAACAAUCCAUUUGUCUGACGGUACCGCUAAAGGAAGCUCCGGCUAACUCCGUGCCAGCAGCCGCGGUAAUACGGGGGGAGCAAACGUUGUUCGGAAUUACUGGGCGUAAAGGGCGUGCAGGCGGCCUUGUAAGAGGGAUGUGAAAUGCCCUGGCUCAACCAGGGAACUGCAUUCCAGACUGCAAGGCUUGAGUAUAGGAGAGGAUGGGGGAAUUCCCGGUGUAGCGGUGAAAUGCAUUGAUAUCGGGAGGAACACCAGUGGCGAAGGCGCCCAUCUGGCCUAAUACUGACGCUCAGGCGCGAAAGCUAGGGGAGCAAACAGGAUUAGAAACCCCAGUAGUCC
rnacentral:rRNA from 1 species